CUACUUCUAAAGAAUGAAAAGAGCAUGAUUUUUGGGUUUGUAGAGGAGAGAAUUUGUGUUUAUUCUCUGCUGGCUGCUGCCUCCUUCUGCUCUCCCUCUUUUCUGCUGGCUGCUGCCUCCUUCUCUCUUUCUUUUUAUAUGCUAAGAAACCCUAGUCUCUAUUUUACAAAAUAGUCCUUCCUUGAGUUGGCAGUUUACAUUUAAGUACUUCAAUAACUAUUUUUCCUAAAAGGAGAAAUAGUCUUGCAUGAAAUCUUCAAGCUCUGACUUGGAGGAGCUAAAUUGCUGAUAUAAAAACUUGGAUGUCGGUUUAGAUGCUUCAGAAUGUAGUUUGGACUUGUUUCUUCACGAAACCUGUU
rnacentral:lncRNA from 1 species